UAAUACGUAGGUGGCAAGCGAUACUCGGAAUCACUAGGCGUAAAGCGCAGGUAGGCGGUUCGGUAAGUCUCUUGUGAAAGCUCCCGGCUUAACUGGGAGAGGCCAAGGGAAACUACUGGGCUAGAGUGUGGUAGAGGAAGCUAGAAUUCCCGGUGUAGCGGUGAAAUGCGUAGAUAUCGGGAGGAAUACCUAUGGCGAAAGCAGGCUUCUGGACCAUCACUGACGCUGAGCUGCGAAAGCUAGGGGAGCAAACAGGAUUAGAUACCCUGGUAGUCCUAGCCCUAAACGAUGCUCAUUAGAUGUGGGAGGUAUCGACCCCUUCCGCGUCGUAGCUAACGCAUUAAAUGAGCCGCCUGGGGAGUACGGCCGCAAGGUUG
rnacentral:rRNA from 1 species